AUACACAGGAUGAUCGAUUUUCUGUAACAUUCUCAUUUUCACACACUCAGCGCAUCGAAACGAAGAGCAUUGCACGCUAAAAACUAUUUGACAAGGACCGCGACAAAUCCACUCCUAAACUUGGAGAAUAAAUUUAACUGAGGACGAACGAUUCUUUCCCCGCUUAUCGAUUUCCUAUUGAACAUACUUUUAGUCGAAAAUCUUGUUUAAUCGCUGC